rnacentral:lncRNA from 10 species
GGGAGGGUGGGAAAGACAUUAGGAGUUGUUUUUAUUUUUUACCUUGGAAGCUUUAGCUACCAAUCCAGUACCCUCCUAACUAGAAUGUAUACACAUCAGCAGGACUGACUGACUACUUCAUUAGAGAUAUACUGUACUCAUUGGGGGCCUUGGGGGUACUGCUGUUCUUAUGUGGGAUUUUAAUGUUGUAAUGUAUUGCAUCUUAAUGUAUUGAAUUCAUUUUGUUGUACUAUAUUGGUUGGCAUUUUAUUAAAAUAAAUUGUAUUGUAUCAUAUUUGUAUGUUUUAAGAGAAAAUAAUAUAAAAUACAAUAUUUGUACUAUUAUAUAGUGCAAAAACUACAAAUCUGUGCCUCUGCCUCUUGAAU